CCACGGAGAUUGCAGUGGGGAAUAUUGGACAAUGGGCGAAAGCCUGAUCCAGCCAUGCCGCGUGUGUGAAGAAGGCCUUCGGGUUGUAAAGCACUUUCAGUGGGGAAGAAAGCCUUGGGGCUAAUACCCUCGAGGAAGGACAUCACCCACAGAAGAAGCACCGGCUAACUCCGUGCCAGCAGCCGCGGUAAUACGGAGGGUGCGAGCGUUAAUCGGAAUUACUGGGCGUAAAGCGCGCGUAGGCGGUCUGAUAAGCCGGUUGUGAAAGCCCCGGGCUCAACCUGGGAACGGCAUCCGGAACUGUCAGGCUAGAGUGCAGGAGAGGAAGGUAGAAUUCCCGGUGUAGCGGUGAAAUGCGUAGAGAUCGGGAGGAAUACCAGUGGCGAAGGCGGCCUUCUGGACUGACACUGACGCUGAGGUGCGAAAGCGUGGGUAGCAAACAGGAUUAGAUACCCCGUAGUC
rnacentral:rRNA from 1 species